rnacentral:rRNA from 1 species
GACGUAGGGUGCGAGCGUUGUCCGGAUUUAUUGGGCGUAAAGAGCUCGUCGGCGGCUCGUCGCGUCAGCUGUGAAAACCCGCGGCUUAACCGUGGGCUUGCAGCUGAUACGGGCGGGCUAGAGUUCGGUAGGGGAGACUGGAAUUCCUGGUGUAGCGGUGAAAUGCGCAGAUAUCAGGAGGAACACCGGUGGCGAAGGCGGGUCUCUGGGCCGAUACUGACGCUGAGGAGCGAAAGCGUGGGGAGCGAACAGG